AGUGGACCUCGCAGGCCCGUGGCGUCAUGAGUCGCAGCCUGGACUCCGCGCGCAGCUUCCUGGAGCAGCUGGAGGCGCGGGGCGGCCAUAAGGCUGCGAUCCUCUCCGGCGAGUUCCGCGACUCUGAUGUGGCUCUUCUCUCUCUCUCCUCUCUCCACUUCGUCUGUUCCCGGUGCCUCCCUAGGACAUCCGGGCUCGCUCAGCCUCCUGGAAGACUGAGGGUGUCUGCUCCACGGAGGCAGCCAGUCAGCUGGGGAACAUGAAGAAGAACCGCUACAAAGACGUGCUGCCCUAUGAUCAGACAAGAGUGAUCCUCUCCCUGCUGCAGGAGGAAGGACAUGGCGACUACAUCAACGGCAACUUCAUCCGGGGUGCAGAUGGAAGCCAGGCCUACAUCGCCACACAAGGACCUCUGCCUCACACGCUGCUAGAUUUCUGGCGCCUGGUCUGGGAGUUUGAGGUCAAGGUGAUCCUGAUGGCGUGUAGAGAGAUGGAGCAAGGGCAGAAAAAGUGCGAGCGUUACUGGGCCCAAGAACAAGAGCAGCUGAAGAUCGGGCUCUUCUCCGUCAUCCUGACAAAGGCGAUGCAGGUGAAUGCAGACAUUAUGCUCAGGACCCUCCAAGUCACAUUCCAGGAGAAAUCCCGUUCUGUGCACCAGCUGCAGUUUAUCUCCUGGCCAGACCAUGGGGUCCCUAACAACCCUGACUGUGUACUCACCAUGGUGGAGGAAGCCCGGCGCCUCCAGGGAUCUGGGCCUGGGCCCCUCUGUGUUCACUGCAGUGCGGGCUGCGGGCGAACAGGUGUCCUGUGCACUGUGGAUUAUGUGAGGCAGCUGCUCCUGACUCAGACGAUUCCACCCAACUUCAGCCUCUAUGAUGUGGUCCUCGAGAUGCGGAAGCAGCGGCCUUCUGCUAUCCAGACGGAGGAGCAGUACAGGUUUGUGUACCACACGGUGGCUCAGAUGUUCUGCUCAGCACUCCAGAAUGCCAGCCCCCACUCUGAAAAACUCAAGGAGAAUCGUUCCCCACUCCGUGGUGAUGCCCUCUCCUUCCGGACUUCCCCUGCACUCCCUGCAAUACCCCGCCCACUUGGUGUAAUACUCAGGAGCAUCUCGGUGCCCGGGGCCCCCGCCCUCGCCAUGGAGGACGCGUACGCGGUGGUGCAGAAGCGCGGGGCCCCUGAGGGUGCGGGGCCGGAGGCGAGUGGGCGCAGGGCGGAGGAGUCGCCGCUCUACAGCCAGGUGACGCCGCGCGCCCUGCGGCCCCGGGCGGACCCGCCUGACGUCGGGGCCCGGGCGGAAGACGCGCGGCGGCCGCUGACCGGUCACGCUCCUGCAAUCCAAGGCCCUGCCUGGCCCGGCGCCUGUGAGGAUGUGGCGAAUGGAGUUCAGACUGGUGGACUAGGUUUCAACCUGCGCAUUGGAAGACCAAAAGGGCCUCGGGACCCACCUGCCGAGUGGACCCGAGUGUGAGUGGAGUGGCUGCACCUGCCUGUUGCCCCACGUUACUGCUUGGAGUGCCCAGCCAACUUUCAUUGCUCGUUUAUGCAGAAUGUUGGGAAUGGGAACCCUGAGCCUGGAUCAAAAUAAAAGUUUCUAAGGGCUUAAAGGGAGCCAAUCCCAGAAGCAGAGAAAAGGGACCUGGCAACCAUCAAGAAGAAGAGCCAGAAGCAGAGCAUGUCCUUUGGAUCCAGGAUCACUGCUGAGAACCUCCUAGACCAAGGAGACAGAGCUGUAACACUGGAGACAGCUGUAGAUGACAGGAAGUGGCAGCAGAGAAAUGGCAGCGGGAGGAACUAGGAGACCGGCAUGAGAUGGCACAGUUGGCUUCCGGGCCCACAAAGCGAGGUGGCUACAGUGCGCAUGCCAAGCCAUGGAGCAAGAGAGCUGAGCACCUUCUGGCAGGAGUUUUCCUGGCAAAAUGAGGUACAUUCAGGCACUUCCCGAAGGAGUUAAACAGCUUUUAACACUUGCCAUAGCAGGGCAGAGGCCAAGCCGAGGGGCUGAGGGGCCAAGAGCUGAGAGAGGCCUGCCUGUGGGCACAGCCAGGAAGUUGCUCUGACCAAAGAACUGUACCUUGAGUUGUUCCUGAUCCUGAAAUGUAGCCUGUUGCUUUCAAAUAAAUCUCAUGUCUGUGAGCAUAGUUUGUGAGUUCUGUGUGGCUGCUGCAAUGAAUUAUCAAACCCAGCAGAGACGUAGAGAGCACUGUUGCAGUGUGAUGGAUCGCUUUUCUGUGACCUUUCUACCUAUGGUCUUGUAAUUCCCACCCAAGUGAUUGGGCAGGGCUGUGUGGUAGGGUAAUUGUGGCCCACUAAGGGGAUUGGUCAGUUUUGCCAUCCUGCUGUUCUUGAAAUUAGCCACCUCAGAGGCAGGAAGCAGAGGAUCCUCUUAUCUAGUGGUAUAAAGAGAACUAAACGUUUGAUGGAAAUGAGUAUUGGGCAUUAUAGAUCACAGACAGCUUGUAACUUCACUUUCAGGCAAUACUUGAUAUGCUAAAAGCUGAACUGGGAUUUACCCUAGGGAAACAUAGAUUUUGAAUGCAGUAGUCCUGCAUGUAGAGUAUUGGGGUCUUAGGUCCAAAACCUGAGCCCUACCUGGAAUCUUUUGGAGCCAGGAGAUUUGCAUUUGAAAAGACAUGCGGACCCACCCAGAACUUCGGGAGAGCAUAUUUGCGUUUGAAAGAAAGACGUGCAGAGGAAAAAAGAUGACCAAUUUGCUUUUUGAAUUUCAAGCAAGCGGUUUGCCCUUGGGUACAUCAAGGCAGGAAAAGUCAGUGCCCUUCAGAAGAAUCCCCUUCUAAGACAAGAAGUUAAAGGGAACCAGUUAGUAGACAGCCUGGUAUGCUGGCUUGAUGUACAGCAGUGAACAGAUGGGCUGAGUUUGGACAUGUUCCAUUGGCACCUCUUGACCUGGCCCACGGAGGCUAGGGAUGACAGACAGAGAAGGGGCUGGCUGAUCUGAAGUGCAGGGAGCUGUGUAGACUCCUGAGCCUACAGGUGGCACCUGUUGACCUAGCCCAUUGGGGGUAGGAAUGAGAGAAAGAGAGAAGGGGUUAGCUGGCCUAAUAGCAGGGAAGUAUGUGGAAUCCCAAGCCUACAGCUGGUGUCCAUUAACCUAGCCCUUGGGGAAUAGGGAUGAGGUGACCAGACCCAGACCGAAUGAAGAGAGAGAGAGAUGUUUCACACUGUGAGUUGGUGUAGAUUGCUGCAAUUUGAUGGCUUGCUCUGGAUUGGAGUUUGCUUGUGGAUGCAGAUGUAUAAAGAUCUAACAGGAACAGAAGAUUCUUCAGAUCGAGGAACAUGUUUGUCUCCUCAGAGUACUGGUUUGGUAGGGAUGAGCAAUUUAAACACUGUCCCCACCGAAUAGCUUCUUCUUUUCUCUCUUCCUGGUGGGUCUGGGUAAGAGAGGGUAGGGAAAGAUGCUGAUAGGAUUAUAUAAUUCACUUGUGAAUAUUGAUUGUUAACAGGGUUAAUUUGUGACUGUAAAAUCUGUAAUUGUAGAACCUGUAAGUGGGAAAGAGUGGACUAAGGGGGAGGCACUGCUGGACUGGAAUACAGUGGCCAAACCUAAAGUCAGUUAAAGAUUUUGCGAUGCUGAUACCUCAAGAGAGGCUCAGAGCAAGGAAAUAAUCAUCUCUCAGUUAAAUUUUAUCAGAGGCCAGAAAGGGUAAAGGUGAGAUGACAUUUGGAGAACCUAACCAAGUCAGAUGGAGACCUACAGCAGACCUGAAUUGCUGAUAACCUGAGUAACCUCACCCAGAGAACUCUACACCCUACGGAAGGAUUAAUUGUUAAUGACUGGUUUGGACUGGUAAAAUGAUUGGAAGGAGAAUGUUACCCUCCAAGUAUGAAAGGACCAAUGGCUAGAAGAACCAGGGGGUGGCCUGCAGUGCAGUGAAUUAGUUAAUAUGGCCCUUCAAGCCAUGGACUUUGUAUUCCCAUAAAAUGAUUGGGUGGGACUAUGCAAAUAAGUUGCUUGUGGCUCACCAAGGGGAUUGGACAGCUUGCAAAUAAUGCAAAUAAAAGUGCAUGGAGCCUUGUGGGGAUGGGACCAUGCAAAUAAGGAGUAUGGAACCCUAAUGAGGGAACUGGCCAGUUUUGCCACCCUGCUAGGCUUAAAGGGAGCUGUCAUGGAUUGAAUCGUGUCCCCCCAAAAUAUCUGUUAACUUGGCUAGAACAUGAUUCUCAGUAUUGUGUGAUUUUCCACCAUUUUGUCAUCUGAUGUGAUUUUCCUAUGUGUUGUAAAUCCUAUCUCCACGAUGUUAAUGAAGUGGGAUUAUCCGCAGUUAUGUAAAUGAGGCAGGACUCAAUCUACAAGAUUAGGUUGUGUCUUAAGCCAAUCUUUUUUUGAGAUAUAAAAGAAAGAAGCAAGCAGAGAGACAUGGGGAUUUCAUCCCACCAAGAAAGUAGUGCCAGAAGAAGAAUGUAUCCUUUGAACCAGGGGUCCCUGCACUGAGAAGCUCCUAGUCCAGAGGAUGAUUGAUGACAAGGACCUUCCUCCAGAGCCAACAGAGAGAGAAAGCCUUCCUCUGGAGCUGACACCCUGAAUUUGGACUUCCAGCCUCCUAGACUGUGAGAAAAUAAGCUUCUGUUUGUUGAGGCCAUCCACUUGUGAUAUUUCUGUUAUAGCAGCACUAGAUAACUAAGACAGGAUUAAAUCCCAGAAGCAGAAAAAGGGGACUUCACUACCAUGAAGAAGCAGAGGAGCCAGGAACAGUGUGCAUCCUUUGGACCUGGGGUCCCUUUGCAAAGAACCUCCUAGUCCCAGGAGACAGAGAGAGCUGUAACACCAGAGAUGGCUGUAGAUGAUAAGAAGUGGUGGCAGAGAAAUGACAGCAGCAGGAACCAAGACAGACCAGUAUAAGACAGCACAGUGAGCUUCCUGGCCCCUAGAAUGAGGCAGCUGUCGUGGGUGUGCUGACCCAUGGAACGAGAAGGCUAAGCACCUUUGGGCAGGAGGCUUCCUGGCAGAGUGGGUUGCCUUUGGGCACUUAUCGGAGGAGCACCCGAGAAGGCCAGAGGCCAGAUUGAGAGGCCAAAGGGUUGAUGGGCUGAGAGCUGAGAGAAAGGCCUGCCUGCAGGCACAACUGAGAAGCUGUUCUGACUGAAGAACUGUAUCCUGAGUUGUUCCCAAUCCUGAAUUGUAACCUUUUACUUCCUUAAAAAACUCCAUGACUGUGAGUAUGGUUUGUGAGUUCUGUGUGGCCAUUGCAGUGAAUUAUUGAACCCAGCUGAGUAGAGAGUGCUGUGGGAAGGACAGCUGGUGUCAGACUUGGUAAAAAGGUUGGAGGGUGGAGGUAUGUUUGACCUCCACCUUAAUAGGAGUCAGCCUUUGGCUUGACUGAAUGAUCUUGAUUCUCUCUCCUCCCCAUUGUGAAGUUAGACGAGGUCUGUUGCCACUGUAUUGUUUUUACAGCUGGGCUCUGUACAUAUUUUAACUCAUUUAAUCUGUAAAACAAUAUUAAAAACAAGCCAAACCCAUUGCCGUCGAGUUGAUUCUGACUCAUAGUGACCCUAUAGGACAGAGUAGAGCUGCCCCAUAGGGUUUCUAAGGAGCGGCUGGUGUAUUUGAAUGCUGACCUUUUUGGUUAACAGCUGAACUUGUAACCACUUUGCCACUAGGGCCCCCAAAACACUGUUAGGAAGUAGGUAUUGUCAGCUGUGCCCAUUUUACUGAAUAAGGUUCAAAGAAUACAGCUGUUAAUCUGAAAUUCAGUUUCAGAUCUGGGCAACACCCAAGCCGAUGAUGAUAUAAAGCCAUAGGGGUCUUGGUGUUUGGGGUGUAUAAUACAUGGCCAUGAGCAAAUGAGGUCCUAAAUCAUUAAAUAAAUACUAAUAGCCCACCCCUGAGUGGGUGCUUGGUGUGCAUUUGUGCUGAUUCAGUAAUCUCUGGAGUAAUCCCAUAAUAGAGGUAAUGUCGUCAUGCCCAUUUUUUGUAAUCUAGUAAUAACUGGCGUGAACAAAGGAUUGUUUCUUUAAUCUGUGAAAGGCCACGUAUCAUACCUUUGACUUGGUCUCUAAUAGCUAUGUGAUCUUGAGCAAGUUUAUUAAUUUUUCUCUGCCUCAGUAUCUAGUCUUUAAAAUAGGGAUAAUAAAGUUUCUCUGUCAUAGGGUUGCUACAAUUAUAAUUGCCCAGAGUGAAUCUGUAGGUGACUUCCUUAAUGUUUGUAGUGUGAACAGUUCCACACUCUCAUCCCCCCAAAGGAUCACCAAGGGAAACAACCAUGUAUCAGUAGACUCAACUUUGUAGAACUCUGAAAAGCAGUUGGAGCAUUGCAACAACUAAGUGAAUGCUGAAUCAAGAAAAAGACUAUUUUUAAAUGGUAGGAAAGCUGUGGUUUUAUACUCUCUGCAGCCCUCACCUUUCUUGGCCCGGCAGCAGCAGCAGUAGAUGGUGGUUUGUACUCUGAGAGAGGGGGACUGAUACCUGAUUCUGGAGUGAGCAGAGCAGACUUUACUAGAGGAUAGUUGUGUGUGUUCUGAUCUGUCUUGGGGCCUCCUGAAAGACUGAAGGCAGGGUGUUCCUCUUGGUUUUACCUGCCUCAGGGUAGUGGUGGUAGGGGGCAAUGACUGAAGGCACAUAUAGCCAUCUGGGGCUAAACAGUGUGGUUGAAGCAUACAAUUAAUGCCUAAAGGCUGAAGGAGAACCCAGAGUGAGAGUUCCAUGCAAAAAUUAGCCCUUUCAAAAGUCCCCUGUGUAAGAAGAUACUAAGAAAGCCACACAUAUGCUCAGGGGAAAAGAUAUGAGCCAAAAACACCAAAGAAGACCUACACUUUCACCUUGGGCAGAUCCCUAAGUAUACUUUAAACCAGCCUAAAUGUUGAGAGAGGGGCCGGCACAGAGCCAAUUUGGAAAGAAAAGGAGAGGUCCCCUUCCCACUGGAGUACAAGAAAACUACUUUUGAAGCACUGGGUUGACAUGGGCUGGGGAACAGAAUCCCUUGAUUACCACACAAAUCUAGCAGGCAGUCAUUGCAAAAAUAUUUAGGGGAGGUCUGUGAGCAAAUGGAAUACUACAACCUUCAAAAUUAAAAAAAACUCAAAACCUGGGGAAGGGUAAGAGUCUGAGUUCUAGAGCCAACACAUUCCCAGUUUCAACAAAAAAAUCACAAGGAGCACAAAGAAAUAUGCAAUGAUGAUCCAUUUCAGAGAACAAAAUGAAACAAUCCCUGUGGAAGCCUGGAUAAGAUGGAUAGACUAUAAGACUUCAAACGACAGCAUUAAAAAUGCACAAACAACUAAAGGAAAACACAAAGAACUAAAAGAAAUCAGGAAAUCAAUACAGGAACAAAGUGAGAAUAUCAAUAAGAGAUAGACGCUGUGAAAGGAACCAAACAGAAUUACUGAAGCUGAAAAACACAAUAACUGAAAUGAAAAAUUCACUGAAGAGGCUCAACAGGAGAUUUGAGCUGGCAGAAGAAGGAAUCCGUGAUCUAGAAAAGAUUAUUGAAAUUACUGAGUCCAGAAGCAAAAAGAAAAAAGUGAACAGAGUCUAAAUGGCUUGUGGAACACUACCAACAAACACAUUAUGGGAGUCCCAGAAGGGAGAGAGAGAGAAAAAAAAGGGACAGAGAG